GCCCGGCUGGCUCAGUUGGUAGAGUAUGUGACUCUUGAUCUCAGGUUGUAAGUUCAAGCCACACGUUGGGUG
rnacentral:tRNA from 1 species